GACGAACGCUGGCGGCGUGCUUAACACAUGCAAGUCGAGCGGUAAGGCCCUUUCGGGGGUACGACGAGCGGCGAACGGGUGAGUAACACGUGGGUGACCUGCCCUCAGCUCUGGGAUAAGCCUGGGAAACCGGGUCUAAUACUGGAUAUGACUCCAUGACGCAUGUUGUGGGGUGGAAAGCCUUGUGCGGCUGAGGAUGGGCCCGCGGCCUAUCAGCUUGUUGGUGGGGUGAUGGCCUACCAAGGCGACGACGGGUAGCCGGCCUGAGAGGGCGACCGGCCACACUGGGACUGAGACACGGCCCAGACUCCUACGGGAGGCAGCAGUGGGGAAUCUUGCGCAAUGGGCGAAAGCCUGACGCAGCGACGCCGCGUGAGGGAUGACGGCCUGGU
rnacentral:rRNA from 1 species